AAUUCGAAGCAACGCGAAGAACCUUACCAGGUCUUGACAUCCAGUGCAAACCUAAGAGAUUAGGUGUUCCCUUCGGGGACGCUGAGACAGGUGGUGCAUGGCUGUCGUCAGCUCGUGUCGUGAGAUGUUGGGUUAAGUCCCGCAACGAGCGCAACCCUUGUCAUUAGUUGCCAUCAUUAAGUUGGGCACUCUAAUGAGACUGCCGGUGACAAACCGGAGGAAGGUGGGGAUGACGUCAAGUCAUCAUGCCCCUUAUGACCUGGGCUACACACGUGCUACAAUGGACGGUACAACGAGAAGCGAACCUGCGAAGGCAAGCGGAUCUCUUAAAGCCGUUCUCAGUUCGGACUGUAGGCUGCAACUCGCCUACACGAAGCUGGAAUCGCUAGUAAUCGCGGAUCAGCACGCCGCGGUGAAUACGUUCCCGGGCCUUGUACACACCGCCCGUCACACCAUGAGAGUCUGUAACAC
rnacentral:rRNA from 1 species